rnacentral:rRNA from 1 species
CCUACGGGUGGCAGCAGUGGGGAAUAUUGCACAAUGGGGGAAACCCUGAUGCAGCGACGCCGCGUGGGUGAAGAAGUAUUUCGGUAUGUAAAGCUCUAUCAGCAGGGAAGAAAAUGACGGUACCUGAUUAAGAAGCCCCGGCUAACUACGUGCCAGCAGCCGCGGUAAUACGUAGGGGGCAAGCGUUAUCCGGAUUUACUGGGCGUAAAGGGCUCGUAGGCGGUAUGUCAAGUCAAGGGUGAAAUUCCCGGGCUGAACGUGGGAACUGCCUUUGAAACUGGGAAACUAGAGUGUGUGAGAGGAUAGUGGAAUUCCAGGUGUAGGAGUGAAAUGCGUAGAUAUCAGGAGGAACAUCAGUGGCGAAGGCGGCUAACUGGAACAUAACUGACGCUGAGGAGCGAAAGCGUGGGUAGCAAACAGGAUUAGAUACCCCAGUAGUC